GGUUUCCGUAGGUGAACCUGCGGAAGGAUCAUUAUUGAGGGCGUAUGGAUUAAUAACCCCUACG
rnacentral:rRNA from 1 species